rnacentral:rRNA from 1 species
CAGGGGAGACAGGUGGUGCAUGGUUGUCGUCAGCUCGUGUCGUGAGAUGUGGGUUAAGUCCCGCAACGAGCGCAAACCCACACUCCUGGUUGCCAGCAUUCAGUUGGGCACUUUAGGAGAACUGCCGGUGAUAAGCCGGAGGAAGGUGUGGAUGACGUCAAGUCCUCAUGGCCCUUACGGGUUGGGCUACACACGUGCUACAAUGGUGGUGACAAUGGGCUAAUCCCAAAAAGCCAUCUCAGUUCGGAUUGGGGUCUGCAACUCGACCCCAUGAAGUCGGAAUCGCUAGUAAUCGCGUAACAGCAUGACGCGGUGAAUACGUUCCCGGGCCUU